AUUGAACGCUGGCGGCAUGCCUUACACAUGCAAGUCGAACGGCAGCACGGGAGCAAUCCUGGUGGCGAGUGGCGAACGGGUGAGUAAAGUAUCGGAACGUGCCCAGUCGUGGGGGAUAACGUAGCGAAAGUUACGCUAAUACCGCAUACGAUCUAUGGAUGAAAGCGGGGGAUCGCAAGACCUCGCGCGAUUGGAGCGGCCGAUAUCAGAUUAGGUAGUUGGUGGGGUAAAGGCUCACCAAGCCGACGAUCUGUAGCUGGUCUGAGAAGACGACCAGCCACACUGGGACUGAGGGACGGCCAAGACGCCUACGGGAGGCAGCAGUGGGGAAUUUUGGACAAUGGGCGAAAGCCUGAUCCAGCCAUGCCGCGUGCAGGAUGAAGGCCUUCGGGUUGUAAACUGCUUUUGUACGGAACGAAAAGGUUUGGCCUAAUAAGCUGAGCUCAUGACGGUACCGUAAGAAUAAGCACCGGCUAACUACGUGCCAGCCGCCGCCGUAA
rnacentral:rRNA from 1 species